rnacentral:rRNA from 1 species
CCCUACGGGGGGCAGCAGUGAGGAAUAUUGGUCAAUGGGCGGGAGCCUGAACCAGCCAAGUCGCGUGAGGGAAGACGGUCCUAUGGAUUGUAAACCUCUUUAGGCGGGGAGCAAUGCCGGGCACGCGUGCCCGGAGGGAGAGUACCCGCAGAAUAAGCAUCGGCUAACUCCGUGCCAGCAGCCGCGGUAAUACGGAGGAUGCGAGCGUUAUCCGGAUUUAUUGGGUUUAGAGGGUGCGUAGGCGGAUUUUUAAGUCAGCGGUAAAAUGUCCGGGCUCAACCCGGGCCGGCCGUUGAAACUGGGGG